rnacentral:lncRNA from 1 species
AAAGAAAAGAAUCCCAGUACUUAGAAGGCAGAGGCAAACUGAUCUCUGUGAGUCAAGAGGCCAGCACAGUCAACACAGUGUGAUACCCUUGUCGCAAUAAACAAAACAAACCCGAACCUUGAAUGUGCUUGGAAAGUGCUUUACAACUGAGCCACAGCCUUUGUGGCUAAUUACUUUGCAUAAAAUACGAUCCACAGCUGGGCUUGCCUAUCAUCCCAAUACUCUGGAGGCUGAGAAGGGACUAGGACCUGGCCUGAAAUCCUCCUUUGAUGCACAUUUCCCAGUUACGUCAGAUUUUCCCCGAAGGCUAUCCUGGCUUGAGAGCGUUUUCGGCUUAGGGACUGCCCAAACAAAUCCAAACAAAUAAAACCACUGGCAAGUUUCC